AGGUAAUUCAAACUUGUCAAACAACAGGACUCAAGCAUUUCGCAAGCGCCUCAUGUUUCUCCUUUGAAAAUAUUAAAUUUUUGUUAUGCUGGUUUAGAUGAAGGUAUUAAGUGUCAAGGAUUGAACCUCAAUUCGGUGGCACUUGAGUACCAUCAUCUAAAGCAAGCCUCACAAAAAUUUAUUAUUUUCAAAGGGAAAACAUGAGGUGUUUGGCGAAAUGCUUGAGUCCUGUUGUUUUGCAGGUUUGAAUUUAUC
rnacentral:pre_miRNA from 1 species